rnacentral:rRNA from 2 species
UGGGGAAUAUUGGGCAAUGGAGGCAACUCUGACCCAGCAACGCCGCGUGAAUGAUGAAGGUCUUCGGAUUGUAAAGUUCUGUGAAGAGGGAAGAAGAAAGUGACAGUACCUCUAGAGCAAGUCACGGCUAACUACGUGCCAGCAGCCGCGGUAAUACGUAGGUGACAAGCGUUGUCCGGAAUGACUGGGCGUAAAGGGUGCGUAGUCGGCUUGUCAAGUUGGUAGUGAGAUUCCAGGGCUCAACUCUGGCGCUAUUACCAAAACUGUCAAGCUUGAGUGCGAGAGAUGUAAGUGGAAUUCCUAGUGUAGCGGUAAAAUGCAUAGAUAUUAGGAGGAACACCAGUGGCGAAGGCGACUUACUGGCUCGUAACUGACGAUGAGGCACGAAAGCGUGGGGAGCAAACAGG